CGAACGGAAAGGCCCUGCUUUUGUGGGGUGCUCGAGUGGCGAACGGGUGAGUAACACGUGAGUAACCUGCCCUUGACUUUGGGAUAACUUCAGGAAACUGGGGCUAAUACCGGAUAGGAGCUCCUGCUGCAUGGUGGGGGUUGGAAAGUUUCGGCGGUUGGGGAUGGACUCGCGGCUUAUCAGCUUGUUGGUGGGGUAGUGGCUUACCAAGGCUUUGACGGGUAGCCGGCCUGAGAGGGUGACCGGCCACAUUGGGACUGAGAUACGGCCCAGACUCCUACGGGAGGCAGCAGUGGGGAAUAUUGCACAAUGGGCGGAAGCCUGAUGCAGCAACGCCGCGUGCGGGAUGACGGCCUUCGGGUUGUAAACCGCUUUCGCCUGUGACGAAGCGUGAGUGACGGUAAUGGGUAAAGAAGCACCGGCUAACUACGUGCCAGCAGCCGCGGUGAUACGUAGGGUGCGAGCGUUGUCCGGAUUUAUUGGGCGUAAAGGGCUCGUAGGGUGGUUGAUCGCGUCGGAAGUGUAAUCUUGGGGCUUAACCCUGAGCGUGCUUUCGAUACGGGUUGACUUGAGGAAGGUAGGGGAGAAUGGAAUUCCUGGUGGAGCGGUGGAAUGCGCAGAUAUCAGGAGGAACACCAGUGGCGAAGGCGGUUCUCUGGGCCUUUCCUGACGCUGAGGAGCGAAAGCGUGGGGAGCGAACAGGCUUAGAUACCCCGGUAGUCCACGCUGUAAACGGUGGGUACUAGGUGUGGGGUCCAUUCCACGGGUUCCGUGCCGUAGCUAACGCUUUAAGUACCCCGCCUGGGGAGUACGGCCGCAAGGCUAAAACUCAAAGGAAUUGACGGGGCCCCGCACAAGCGGCGGAGCAUGCGGAUUAAUUCGAUGCAACGCGUAGAACCUUACCUGGGUUUGACAUGGAUCGGGAGUGCUCAGAGAUGGGUGUGCCUCUUUUGGGGUCGGUUCACAGGUGGUGCAUGGCUGUCGUCAGCUCGUGUCGUGAGAUGUUGGGUUAAGUCCCGCAACGAGCGCAACCCUUGUUCACUGUUGCCAGCACGUUAUGGUGGGGACUCAGUGGAGACCGCCGGGGUCAACUCGGAGGAAGGUGGGGAUGACGUCGAGUCAUCAUGCCCCUUAUGUCCAGGGCUUCACGCAUGCUACAAUGGCUGGUACAGAGAGUGGCGAGCCUGUGAGGGUGAGCGAAUCUCGGAAAGCCGGUCUCAGUUCGGAUUGGGGUCUGCAACUCGACCUCAUGAAGUCGGAGUCGCUAGUAAUCGCAGAUCAGCAACGCUGCGGUGAAUACGUUCCCGGGGCU
rnacentral:rRNA from 1 species